AAUGCAUCGGGACCUACCUAGACGUGGGGGAUUACGUAGGGAAACUUACGCUAAUACCGCAUACGUCCUACGGGAGAAAGCAGGGGACCUUCGGGCCUUGCGCGGUUAGACGGACCGAUGUUCGAUUAGCUUGUUGGUGAGGUAAUGGCUCACCAAGGCGACGAUCGAUAGCUGGUCUGAGAGGAUGAUCAGCCACACUGGAACUGAGACACGGUCCAGACUCCUACGGGAGGCAGCAGUGGGGAAUAUUGGACAAUGGGCGCAAGCCUGAUCCAGCAAUGCCGCGUGUGUGAAGAAGGCCUUCGGGUUGUAAAGCACUUUUAUCAGGAGCGAAAUACUACCGGCUAAUAUCCGGUGGGGCUGACGGUACCUGAGGAAUAAGCACCGGCUAAACUUCGUGCCAGCAGCCGCGGUAAUACGAAGGGUGCAAGCGUUAAUCGGAAUUACUGGGCGUAAAGCGUGCGUAGGCGGCUUGUUAAGUCUGCUGUGAAAUCCCCGGGCUCAACCUGGGAAUGGCAGUGGAUACUGGCAAGCUAGAGUGUGUCAGAGGAUGGUGGAAUUCCCGGUGUAGCGGUGAAAUGCGUAGAGAUCGGGAGGAACAUCAGUGGCGAAGGCGGCCAUCUGGGACAACACUGACGC
rnacentral:rRNA from 1 species